GCCGGGAGGCGGAACCCGUCCACAGCCUCCGGACCCGAGCUGAGCCGGCGCGGGAACCGAUGGCCCUGCCCCACUGUGUCGCUGAAACCGGGCCGGCAUUGAAGGGGGGCGGGAGGCGGCGCUGGGGCCCAGGCCGAGGGUCAGUGCAGGUGGCCCUCAGCGGCCACCGCCCGGCCGAGCAGCUGGAGGACGCCCCUCUCCCCGCGUCCGGAUCCUGGGGCGGGGGUGGGGGGUCGGCGCUGAAUGAGGUUUAGAGAACGAAAAAGCGGGGCAGACUGUUAUGUUUUCCUUGUGAAUUGUGAAGUUCUUUGCUUUCUUCUGCAGGAGGGGAAGCUACCAGCUUUGACGCUAAGUCUGCUCAGCACUGCCAGCCAAAUACAGCAGGAUUGCUCUUGGGUUUGGAAAUUAAUCAUACAAGUGGUUGCAGAAUUGAAAACUCUUUCAGAUCUGCUGAAUAUGAGAACUGGGAACUAUACACAUGCCUGAAUCUCAGGAAAUACCAAAACCACGAUGGAGAUUUUACUUGACGGUGGUUUGCAAUGAAGAACCCCUUGCUGACCGUCCCUGCCACCAUCUCGACAAUUAGCACAGCCUGGGGGCACAGGCAGAGGAUGGAGAAACUUCAGCGAUGUUGCGCUUCUGAUCAGAAUCUACUGCAGUCUUCAUGUCCGUUGUCAGGAAUUUUGGUUUAGAAAUGAAGGCAGAGACGUGCUGAAGCAAAAUAAUUGUGAUUGUAGGCAGUGUUCUUUGAUCCAGAGCUCUUGCAGUGGGCAGUGGAUCAGCUGCGCUCUCGGGAGAAGUCUUUUCCCGAGUAUCUGGUUCUGACUGCAGGAUGCAUAUCAUAAAACUGCUCGUCAAGAAAAGUCAGAAAUACGCACUGUGCUGCAGUCUGUUUAUUUUGCUGCGCUCUCAUCUAUUUACCAAAAAGGUUUCUCUAUCUUUUUAAUCAUUUCCUUUUUAUCUCCUCUUCAGCUUGUACGAAAAUUAUGGAAAUAUUUCCAGACACCUAGUAGCCUACAGACAAUCUGCUAAUUACAAAGCAACACCAGAGAGGAGAAGGGUGUUCCCCUGUAUAAAAAUAAUUCUGUUUGGCUGCUGCAGCAGAGAGGAGAAGCCACUGGAUGCUUCCCCCAGGCUCUGGAGAAUCUUAAAUCUGGCGAUUUAAGAUAAUCGUUCCAGAUGGCGGCCCUGGGGCUGCCGAGUGAUACCAUUACCACGGGAGAGUUUCCAUUGACCGGAUGGAUGUUUGAUCCGUUGUGUUAGGGGUGGCCUCUGUCUGUGUGGAAAGCAUUGCAGUCACGUCUAUAAAAUGCAGAAAAUAAUUAUAAAAAUAGAUACGCUCACUAUACUCACAUAAGGCUCUGGGGAGAUGUUAUAGCCCCUCCCAGUACCUGAAGGGGGCCUACAGGAAGGAUGGGGAGGGACUCUUUAUCAGGGAGUGUAAUGAUAGGAUGAGGGGUAACGGUUUUAAACUGAAAGAGGGCAGAUUUAGAUUGGAUAUCAGGAAGACAUUCUUUACUGUGAGGGUGUUGAGGCACUGGAACAGGUUGCCCAGGGGAGUUGUGGAUGCCCCAUUCCUGGAAGUGUUCAAGGCCAGGCUGGAUGGGGCUUUGAGCAGCCUGGUCUAGUGGGAGGUGUCCCUGCCCAUGGCAGGGGGGUUGGAACUGGGUGAUCUUUAAGGACCCUUCCAACCCGAACCAUUCUGUGAUUCUAUGAUAAGUAGGAUGGAGGCCAGCGCGCUAUGUAGGUGUUCUUCUUCUGUUGCACUGCCACGGCGACACUGCCAGCACGACCAUCCUCAUUUGUAGCUACCUCAGAGCAGCCUAGAAAAGACUCAGCGUGGCCAGGUACUUUCAAGAGCCUCCAGCACAACUGUUCACAAAAAUCACUGAAGCGUGAGGACUCUGUUGUUUUACAGGCAGUUCUUUUGAUAAACCACAAGGAUUAAAGAUUUCUUAUGGAAGAGAUCCUGAUGAAGAACUCUUUGGUACAGAGGCGUUGAUUUACUUUAUAUGUUGCACUCAUCUCUGUUGCUUUAUGAAGAUCAUAGACCUCUUCUUUCAUUUAGAGGGCUUUGCCCUUGCUGUGAAUAUUUGUAUGGCUUCGUGCGUGGCUGUGUUUAUAAGCAGCAGUCUGAAAGAAAUAUUGUUACUCGGGUUGAGUCAAAACAGAUAGACAGAAUGAAGGUACUUCUUAGGGAAUUUGGAAGAUGGCCAAAGAAAUCUAAUCAUAAAGAGCCAAACGCUUUCCUUUGUAGUAAAAUGACUACACCGAUCACCUCCACAUGUGAAUACGUGUUCCCGGUAAAGCUGGGCUAUACCAUAGUAUGUAUCCAUGUCCUGGGUCAUGUGCAAGCUGGUACAUCCAUAUCCAAGGAUGCAUAUAUGUGGGAAUUUCAUAGUUAAUACUGGUAUUUUGGAAGCAUUUCUAAAAGUCGUCUUCAGUAUUUCACAAAUGGGAGCCCCUUUCUGGAACCUGCUCCCAGGCCACGGUGGAUGAGCUUGUCCUCCUCCUCACGCUGGUGUGUGGAUGUGCUCUUGGCCAGCCGCUGGCUGGAGCAUAGGAAAUUCCAGGUCGGCUGUUCCAGCUGGGAGCCAAGCCCUGGAGCUGCUGAAUGGAUCAUGAAGUGGGAGCUGAAACUUGUUCAGCCAGUCUGAGACCUUAUUUCCCUUUGGCAGCACGGUCAUCAGGAGAUUCCUCUGGCUGUUUAUUUCUAGGGGCCCUACUUCCCUGCUCCAGUCCUAACUAACAAAACUACGUCAUGACCUAAGAAGAUGUGAUAAGCAAUUUAAUUAUGAAAUUAGCAGUUAACAUGUACUCAGUAUUGACAAAAUCUUUACCAGAUGGCUGUGCUCCUGACCAGCUCAGCCGCACUUUGGUAUGGUGGGCUUGAAUGUCUUAUUUUGUUGGAGGCAAGACCAUAGAAAGCCAGGACCAGCAUUACCAAAAGUUACAGUAGGGUUUCAAAAAACUUGACACUUCAUGGAUUUUUUCCCUCCUUCAGGACAUUUGGAGCCUUCCUUUGUGAACGUGUUCCUCAGUGUUACGAACACAUCUACUGUUGUCAAGACAUUUUCCAAUAUUUGGACACAUACAUUGUAGUUUACUAGAUAAUGACUAGGUGAGGACUCACGUCAAAAAAUAGUAUGGCUAUUCUAUUAUUUUCUUAUUAAAAAAAAGUCCUAAUAAUGUGGAAGGAUCACCUCUAGAUUGUUUGCUUUCUCGGGGUUUUCUGUGUCUUUCACUAAGAAGUUAAAUCCAUUGCUGGGAACUAAAUUACUUUUGUUUUCUUUCCCUUCAAGGCAACCCACAUCUAUCAAAGGUUUUAAUUCUCAGUCACUUGUUAGUGACUUCUGCAGUAUUUGGUUUAUUUUUUAAACAAAGGACUCUGCUUUCUUUUAGAAUGUAUUUGAAAUUCUCUACCACCUCCUUAUUAGUAUCCUGCAGCUACUUUCUCAUUACAUUCAUCUUUUCUAUUCGUGCAGCAAAGGCUUUUCCAUACUCCUGCCCUUGUCUUAGCUGUGAUUCAUCAUUUUUACAUACAUUCACAGUUCUGCACAAUUUCUUCCUCUUUGCCAUCGGUUCUAUUGCUUUUGUGCAGAGUCACAUUGGAUCACCUGAUGUGUUUGUUCUGGAAUGGAGUAUGGAAAUGUAAAUCUUAAAUGUGGUUUGUUUCCUUUUCUUUUUAACUGCACAUUUGUUCACAGAAGUUUUGGGGAAGAUUUUUAUCGGUUAAAUAAAUUAAGUUGGUAUAUCUGUCUAGGCUUUUUGUGUCACGGAAAGAAUAUCUUGUCUGUCAAAUGGUAAUAAUGUUGUCAAAUGCUACUGGGAAAAUGGGGACAUUAUAAUCCAUCACAAUAUUAAGGGAGCAAUUUAUGCCGUAAAAAUGAGCUUUCUAAGUGACAAUCUCAGGCUGAGCAUGAUGU